rnacentral:rRNA from 1 species
GUGGGGAAUAUUGGACAAUGGGCGAAAGCCUGAUCCAGCCAUGCCGCGUGUGUGAAGAAGGUCUUCGGAUUGUAAAGCACUUUAAGUUGGGAGGAAGGGCAGUAAGUUAAUACCUUGCUGUUUUGACGUUACCGACAGAAUAAGCACCGGCUAACUUCGUGCCAGCAGCCGCGGUAAUACGAAGGGUGCAAGCGUUAAUCGGAAUUACUGGGCGUAAAGCGCGCUUAGGUGGUUUUGUAAGUUGGAGGUGAAAUCCCCGGGCUCAACCUGGGAACUGCCUCCAAAACUGCAUGACUAGAGUACGGUAGAGGGUAGUGGAAUUUCCUGUGUAGCGGUGAAAUGCGUAGAUAUAGGAAGGAACACCAGUGGCGAAGGCGACUACCUGGACUGAUACUGACACUGAGGUGCGAAAGCGUGGGGAGCAAACAGGAUUAGAUACCCGAGUAGUCC